rnacentral:misc_RNA from 1 species
AACCAUAGAAACCUGCGGAGUACCUGCGGAAGGAUCAUUACCGAGUUUACAACUCCCAAACCCAUGUGAACAUACCUAUCGUUGCUUCGGCGGAUCGCCCCGGGCGCCUUGCGUGCCCCGGAUCCAGGCGGCCGCCGGGGGACCUUAACUCUUGUUUUUACUGAGAAUCUUCUGAGUCGUUUUUACAAAUAAAUAAAAACUUUCAGCAACGGAUCU